AUCUUUUUGCAAAAUAGUGUAGCAAUAAAUUCUAAGGAAAGGAGUGCAAUAUGCAUGUAGUGACAAAGUUGGGUGAUAAAUAUAAACUGCAAUAAUGACCUUCUAUGUAUUGAGGAAAGAACAAAAGGAAGAAUGGAUCUUAAUUCUAAAAUUUUAAUUGUAAUUAUUGAAAUCCAACAUCUUUUGAUCAUUGAAAUUAAAAUGGAUCAAAAAAAAAUAAUCAAAACAAUCAUUGUCAGCCAUUGUAGAUAAUCCUAUAAAUUUAUUCUAAUCAACUUGGUAAACUCUGUUGGAAAUGCAAGACGGCGAUUAAGCAGCAGUAAAAUCCAGGAAGCUGUUAUUAGAAUUUACAACAGUUGAUAAAUAUUCAUUCAUUUCCAAAGAUGAAGAAAAAUAUUUUUUAAAAUACUGUGUUUGCGCAUAGGUGAUAAAAUCGAGCACUAAAAACUAUAAAGAAUAAUUUUUAAAAAUAAAAUAUUAAAAUUGAAAAAUGUCAUAUUAAUAAUAUUUAUUCCAUACUUUUAAAGAACAACAAGAAGUUUUGAGAUAUAUAAGAAAUAUUAUAAGAAAUAUAUCUUUGUAAAGAAAUCUUAUAAUGUAAUUCAAUUUUGACAUUAGAUAAAUUUAAGAUAAAUUUAAAAAUACAAGAUUAAAGAAGAAUUGAGAUUGGAAAUUUUGUAUAAGGACUUUCGCCACGAGUAUUUAUUAACUGUACAUUUACAGCACAUUUAAAAUUCGAAAGUUCAUUUCAUUGAAAUUUACAUUUUCAUUUGCUACUUUCUGAAAUCUUAUUUAGAACUCAUAUAUAUUAUUUUGACGUUCAAAUGACGUAAAAGUAUUUGAAGAUAUUUCCUCAGAAACAAAAAUUUUCAAAACACUGACGAAUUGAUGUCGCUAUUCUUGGCGAUUAUUUCUUACAAAAUUAUUUAUUCUUAAAAAUUAUUUUACUUUCAAACCAUCUUUCUUUUUAAUAAACGUUUGUUGCUACAAGCUACUCAUUAUUCUUCACAUUUUAACUCACAAACUUUCAAUAAGAAUAAAAAAUUAUUAGUUAAUACUUCAUUGAAAAAUAAAAAAUAUUCAAGUAAUGAACCAUUAUGUAUAAACAAUUAUGAUUACUGAUAAUGAUUAUGAUUAACAAAUAAUUAAAAAGCAUUGAAAUUACUAAUGAUAUUCUCUUUUUUUAGUGGUCAAGUGUCAAUUGUCCAACAAAGUAUUAUGUCAUCUAUGAAUCUAAAAAAGAAAGUACCAGUUUUUGAUUGCUUUGGCCUUGAAUCCAUAAGAUAUCUGAGACUCUGUGAAACAAACAAAAGAACAUGAAUAUCUAAAUCACUUAAUAAUAUGAAAAAACGUUAUUUAACCAUAUAUUUAACUAUUCUUGAUAUUGUACAUUACUAAUUUGAAAUUGCUCUUAACUGUUUUGUGUAUAUAAUUCAAUUAUGAGAAGACAUAGCACUAUAAUAAAGAUUUUGUGUUUUAUGACUUAGUGCCAUAUCCAAAAUUUCAUCUUACAAAGUGAAACUUUCUUCAUUAAUAGUGUAAUUGGUAUAUCUAGGAUUGUGUAAGGAACGUGCUUGAAAUUAAUCAUUGGAAAGAAUCGUCGGUAUUGUUAUAAAUAAUCAAUGCAUAACCUUCGACAUCUGCUAUAUUUAUUGCAAAUAAAAAGAAAUGUUGAGCUAAAAAUGAUAAUUGUUCAUAACUCAAGAGAUGAGCCUCAACCGAUAUUUUUGCACAUUUUUGUGUUUGUUUUGAAUAAACAGAGAAUCGGUCUUGCAAAAAUACGAAUUUUUUUAACAUU